UUAUGAAGGUGCGACACAGAUGAGUUGUUCUGAUAUUCAGUGACAGAAAGCGGGAGCACAGUAUUUCAGAUGAAAGAGGCAAGGGCUUCAUCAUCAGCGAGGCCUUGGCAAGCAGCAACCACUACGUGUUCAGAUGCUUCAUGAGCAAGGAAUGUUGGUUUCCCCCAGGGCUCUGGAACACAGCAUAAAAGCCUGCUCUACUCCAGGCUCUGCAUCUUCCUCUCUUGCUUCCCUUUCCUCUAAGAGCAAGCUUUGCCUCGCUCACCGAGAGAUGUCUUGCUUCAGACCAUGUCCCCCACGCCCCUGCGGCACCUCUGGCCCAACGCCACUUGCAAGCAGUUGCAGUGAACCCUGCAUCUCCCGCUGCGCUGACUCGACGGUGUUCAUUGAGGCCUCCCCAGUGGUGGUGACCCUGCCGGGCCCCAUCCUCACCUCUUUCCCGCAGAGCACAGCCGUGGGAUCCUCUCUGUCAGCUGCUGUUGGGAGCUCCCUCAGCACUGGCGGGGUUCCCAUCUCUUCUGGGGGCUCCCUUGGUCUCGGGGGCUCAGGCCUGUGUCUGCCUCCCCCCCGCUGCAGUCUGAACUGCUGAAGCUGGCGGAUCAUCCCCUUUGGAGCCGGAAGGAGGACGUGCACCCUGCAUGAGCAGGAGCGUGGCCACGGCUUCCAGAUGGGCUGCGUGUCCUCUUCCCACCUGGCAGGAGGGUCCUGUGCCCACUGCUCCUCACUGCUGGACGAGCCUCGCACUGCCUUCUCUGUCUCUUUGCUCUGAGCCCCUAAGAGAAAGGGCUCCUUCUCUUCUGCUUUGCUGAACCUCCUACUGAGGUGGAGAGGGAUCUGGAGUCAGGGACUGCUCUUGGUGGCCUGGGAAUACCACCAGGUGAAGCAGAAUGGGAAAAGGGAAGCUCUUUCUGUGGACCUUGUCCUUUGGAAACGGGCCGUUCUCUGUGCCUCCCCAAACCCUGCAGACGUCUUCCUUGGUCUCUCUUCUGUGCCCCUGCAUUUGCUCCUUCUGAUUAAAGACUAUGUGCAGCAUA